GUCCAGCAGGUCGGCCUCACCGAAAUACUCUCCAUCGCCUAACAGAGCAAUCCGCAAGUCUUCACCGUGAGGGCCUUUGCUGAUGACCUCAGCCUGUCCGCUGGCCACGAUAAAGAAACGUUGCUUGUCCUUUCCUUCCUCUACAAAGAGUUUGUCGACGUCUACCUCCUGAGCCUCGAAAGCACUCACAAGGCGAUCAAGUAUGCCGUUUUCGAACUCUGAGAACAAUGGUAUCGCCUUCAGGUCUUUAGCCGUAAACGACGGCACGCCAUUCACGUAUUGGAUAGGCAGGCGGUCGUUCUUCCGAAGUUCCACCUUCGUGCGGUUCACGCGGAAUGUGCCACCACUGACCUGCACCCAAGGAAGGAGUUUCAGGAGUAGUCUCGGAGUGAUACUGCCCAUCUGUGGAGCAGUCUUGGUAGUUGUCGCCAGCCGUCUGGCGGUAGC
rnacentral:antisense_RNA from 1 species